AUUGAACGCUGGCGGCAGGCCUAACACAUGCAAGUCGAGCGGAUGAAGGGAGCUUGCUCCUGGAUUCAGCGGCGGACGGGUGAGUAAUGCCUAGGAAUCUGCCUGGUAGUGGGGGAUAACGUCCGGAAACGGGCGCUAAUACCGCAUACGUCCUGAGGGAGAAAGUGGGGGAUCUUCAGACCUCACGCUAUCAGAUGAGCCUAGGUCGGAUUAGCUAGUUGGUUGGGUAAAGGCUUACCAAGGCGACGAUCCGUAACUGGUCUGAGAGGAUGAUCAGUCACACUGGAACUGAGACACGGUCCAGACUCCUACGGGAGGCAGCAGUGGGGAAUAUUCGACAAUGGGCGAAAGCCUGAUCGAGCCAUGCCGCGUGUGUGAAGAAGGUCUUCGGAUUGUAAAGCACUUUUAGUUGGGAGGAAGAGAAGUAAGAUAAUACAUUGCUGUUUUGACGUUACCAACAGAAUAAGCCCCGGCUAACUUCGUG
rnacentral:rRNA from 1 species